UGGGGAAUUUUGUGCAAUGGGCGAAAGCCUGACACAGCGACACCGCGUGAGCGAAGAAGCCCUUUGGGGUGUAAAGCUCUGUCGGCUGGAACGAAAAAAAUGACGGUACCAGCAAAGGAAGCAUCGGCUAACUACGUGCCAGCAGCCGCGGUAAGACGUAGGAUGCAAGCGUUGUCCGGAUUUAUUGGGCGUAAAGAGUUCGUAGGUGGUUUGUUAAGUCUGAUGUUAAAUACCGAGGCCCAACCUCGGAACUGCAUUGGAUACUGGCAGACUCGAGUACAGUAGAGGCAAGCGGAAUUCCCAGUGUAGCGGUGAAAUGCGUAGAUAUUGGGAAGAACACCAGUGGCGUAAGCGGCUUGCUGGGCUGUAACUGACACUGAGGAACGAAAGCCAGGGGAGCGAAUGGGAUUAGAUACCCCCGUAGUCC
rnacentral:rRNA from 1 species